rnacentral:misc_RNA from 1 species
ACUGCUAACCUUAUCUAUUGGAUUUGUGGUUGCUGAAGUUUUUGUCGUGUAAUGGCUGGAGAGCUAAUUCUGCUUUCUUCUGAGUAUAGUCUUUUUGCAGAAAGGGUGAAGAUAGCUUUUGCAGAGAAAGGCAUCACAAAUUACCAAGUCAGAAAUGAAGACUUGAGCAAUAAGAGCCCUCUUCUUCUCCAAAUGAACCCAGUUCAUAAGCUAGUCCCUGUCUUGAUCCAUAAUGGGAAACCCAUUUGCGAGUCUAUGAUCAUUGUCCAAUAUAUUGAUGAUUUCUGGAACCAUAAGUCUCCAUUGUUGCCUUCUGAUCCUUACCAACGAGCUCAUGCCAGAUUCUGGGCUGAUUACAUUGAUAAGAAGAUUUACCCAAAUGGGAGAAUGCUGUGGAGCUCUAAGGGAGAGAUCAUGGAAGCAUCAAGGAAAGAUCUGAUCCAGAGCUUGAAAACAUUGAACAGUGAGCUUGGUGAGAAGGCAUAUUUUAAUGGGGAGAGUUUUGGUUAUAUAGAUUUGGCGUUGAUUCCAUUCUACAACGUAUUCCACACAUUUGAGAGCCUGGGAAACUUCAGCAUGGAAGUGGAAUGCCCUCAGCUAGUGGAGUGGGCUAAGAGAUGCUCGCAAAAGGAGACUGUGUCCAAGUCUAUAUGGGAUAAGCGCAAGUUUUAUGAAAUGAGUUUGCGGUUCAAAGCCAAGUUGAGCCUCGAAUAAAUUACAUCGUUGUUGAGUGGCGUUGGAGUUCAAUCAAAUUACAGUUGAAAUCCAAUUGCUCAACAUGUUCUUCGGUUUAUUUUAGCAAGCUAGUUUUAUUGUAUUGUGCUUGUGCAGCUUUUUCUGGUGUUUAUAAACUAUUAAAACUGAUAACCCUGAAAACAAUCCUAGAAUCAUUAGCGAUACUAUUGCUCUUAUAGUAUGACUAGCAAAUUGAUGAUUUAGUUAUUGAAAUUUAGCUUUUCUCCUUUUUCUUUUAAUUAAUUUUUAAAUUUAAGAUUUCAUACUGAUAGUAUUAAGACCCCUUUUAAUGGUAGUCUAAAUUGGAUAGAAUAAGGCUUACUCCAUUGUGUUGCCCAGAUGCUUAGAACCUUAUAGCAAAAUUAUAAUGGACAAGGUUUAAAAAUAUCAAACAGGCUUGUAAAUCUUGGCCCAUUUCCCAAGGAUGGGUCUCAAAAGGAGUGCAAAACUCAAAAUGUCCUCCCAUUCCUUGUAUUUUGUGUUGUUCUCCUCCUCCAACUGACACACACUAGAUUUUAAGCCGGCUGCCAAAAGGGCAAUAUUUCCCGUUUUCUUCUUCCUUCGGGCUAGGCAAGGUAGCUACUCCUCCUAAGGCUGGCAGAGCUAAGGGUAAUUACGUAUUUUAGAAAUUAAAUUCAAUUAAAAUGAG